rnacentral:rRNA from 1 species
AUUGAACGCUGGCGGCAGGCUUAACACAUGCAAGUCGAGCGGGGGAAGGUAGCUUGCUACCGGACCUAGCGGCGGACGGGUGAGUAAUGCUUAGGAAUCUGCCUAUUAGUGGGGGACAGCGUCCCGAAAGGGAUGCUAAUACCGCAUACGUCCUACGGGAGAAAGCAGGGGAUCUUCGGACCUUGCGCUAAUAGAUGAGCCUAAGUCGGAUUAGCUAGUUGGUGGGGUAAAGGCCUACCAAGGCGACGAUCUGUAGCGGGGCUGAGAGGAUGAUCCGCCACACUGGGACUGAGACACGGCCCAGACUCCUACGGGAGGCAGCAGUGGGGAAUAUGGGACAAUGGGGGGAACCCUGAUCCAGCCAUGCCGCGUGUGUGAAGAAGGCCUUAUGGUUGUAAAGCACUUUAAGCGAGGAGGAGGCUACUCUAGUUAAUACCUAGGGAUAGUGGACGUUACUCGCAGAAUAAGCACCGGCUAACUCUGUGCCAGCCGCCGCGGUAA